CCGUCGGCCUGUGUUCGUUUUUCUCUCCCCGAAUUUCGUCUCACUGUCUCUGCCCGUUGCUUUCUCUCUCCUUCAUGCGUCUGAACGUUGCCCAGCUCAAUCGGUCGUCCGUUUGCUAAUCUGGUGUUACCAAUCCUCUAUUGUUGUCAAGAGUUGUCGUGAGCUUCGCCAAAUUUUGAUUUGGGGGAAAGUUUGGAAGUUAAAAGUGUGCCGUUCAGAGGAUUUGGAAGUGGUUUCAAUAAGAUUUUGGUGAGUCUUAAGACUUUGUCCCCUUUUGGAUUAAGAUUAAUUGUUGAAGGUUUAUUUAUUAAUUUCUGGUUGUGACCCCUAUUUAGAUUGGAUUAUUUGAUCGAAGUUCGAAGUGGUUUUGGAUCAAACCGAUAAGUAACAUGGUGUUGUCAUCACUUAAAUGAGUGUUUGGGAUUUUGUCGAAAGUUAGAAUAAAUUUGGUUUAUAAAUUUUAGGGUUUGAUUCAAGAUUUAUUUGGGCUAAGAGGAGACAAGCCUGCUUGAACAUAUUUAGACUUGAAUUUAAGGUAAGUAAUCUUAUUACUUGUGUCAGACGAUAAGAUUAAGGAUAAUUUUGUUGGUUCUGAGAUUAAAUGAACUGUUUAGAAAGAAUAUAUGAGUAUGUGAUAAUAUGUCUGAAGCAUAUUAUACGUAUGAGCAUGAUUUAGAAAUUUUACGAGGUAUAUUAAGAGAACGAUUGAGUUUGGGCUUAAAUUAUGAGAUAAGUAACACUACUACUGAAAUUCCAUAGUGCUAGACGAAAAUUAGUUAUAUGUUGAUGUACAUGUUUUCAUGAAAUUUAUUUUUGGAUCUAUGAAUGUAUAUCGUGUGAUUUACCAUGAAAUUAUGAAUGACCCAUUAUGUGGAUAUUUUAAAGAGUCUAGUGCAUGAAAGAGA